AACACACAAUGUGACUUUGUGGUGCUGAUAAUGAACAAUGUGUUGUGAUGCUGCACGGCCGCACCGACGAACACAAAGCGUUUAUCCGACGGCAGCAGCGCGACGGAGGCGAUACACGAUGUCACAGAGAGGGAGGAAGAGGAGGAAGAGGAGGAGGACGAGGACGAGGAGGAGUGCCUUGCUCAUGGAGAGGGUUUAGGGAAGCUGAAACAAUGACUUUCUCUCUCUGGCUCCUCCACUCGUCGCUCUCCGUCCUUCUAUCAUCUUUCAAUCUCAGUCUGAGUUUUUCUGAUUGAUACACUCAUUCCACAAAGAUUUCACGCUUGACGGAUCCCAAAUGGUUCUCCUCUCGUGACAAACAGAUCGAUUUUUAUAGACUUGAAAGUUGCUGGUCUUGAAAAUUGUUUGGGCGUCUUGAAGACGCCGUCUGGCUCCGCCCCCCCCCCGAGUCGCGGCCUUCUUUGUGCUGCCGUGAAGCGUUUACAUGAAGUCGCUGAUAUCCAGCGGCGCCCAGAUGUUUCCGCGCUCAAAUGAUUUCGAAAGGUGAAACACGAAAUGUGUCGAAAGGGCCCAAACGUGGCUGAAGCGGCGUUAGAUGAGCCGACGCGGCGCGCCUCAUCGGGAGGAGGGCCGGGUAAACGGCAGGGGGCGGAGCCUCUGGCAGCAUCACAAAGGUUCCUGCAGGAGACCCACCUGCUGGGACGCAGACACACUAAAUACGACAGUCAUACGUGCGGGAUUAAAAAUGUCUCCACCCGCAGUGAUGUUCUUCACAGCGGAUCUUCACCGUGAUCUCAGGGUCCACAGAGCGGUGAGCUCGUGCUCCUGAUGAUGGAACGCAGUUCACAGACGUCUCUCCACCUUCAGACUGCACACAAGGAAGGAAGCCUCGGAGAAAUACACAGAACUCACGAAGGAAGCGGAGACGACCGGCCGGCUAACCAGCGGAGCGAGGGAGGCGGCGGGAGCAGGUGGCCGUCUGCAGCCACCCGGGUCUGAUCAGACCAGGUGAUCAGACUGCAGUUGCAGUUCCUUGUUUCCUCGUCUCCGCCCACCUUUCUGAAAGACAAUCAGCGGGCGCUCGCCCGUCCGGCGGCGGCAGCGGCGGUGUGAACCGCCGCGUUGACCCCGCGGCCGGGGGACAGCGAUCGCCAGCGCUGAAAGGGAUUCUGGGAAAGGUAGAAGCAGAGAAGACCGGCUGUGGGAAAAUUGACGCACCAUUAAGUUUAUUCCAACACUUCAUCACAGAAUAACUGUGGAUCAAUGGAUUGGGAACAAGACAAUCAGGGGGAUUCUCUUCAAAUAAAACCAGUUCACUGACUUAUUAUUGCUGCCUUACUUUAUACUUUCUUAGUAUGACUCCAAUUUAUCACCUGGAGGUUUAUCUUUUUAAAGUGAACCUGUGAGUAAUUAGUGAAGUUUAAAUUCUAUAAAAGUUAAUGGGGGAACAGUGAGCCAGAUGUGUCAAGUGAAAGGAUGUGAAACCACAAAUGACUAUUUGAUGCUUUCUGGGGAAAUGCAGUACAGAUAAAUGGUCUCGUGCCCGUCAGGUCUACGUUUGAUCGUCUAGACUAGCAGAGCAUUCGGUGACGUCAUUCAUGAUCCCAGCUGAUCACCGGAUGAGGCGCAUGCUGAACAUACCUGCUGGUUAGCGCCCUCGCUGUGAGCAUGUUAGCGUUUCCAUCAGAACGUGCAGCCGUGACUCCUGAAGACCUCCUUGUUCGUCCAUCACGGGGAUCUGACCCUCCUUGACCUCCUCCUGCAGGAACACGCACCUCCAGGUAGACGCAGCACUUAAUCGAUGCCGAGAGGUUCUCAGCGAGCCGACCGCACAACAAUCGAUCCGUGAGGAGCUUUGAUGCGCUAAAUGCUGUUCGACACGAGGAAUCAUGUGUGAACAACACCGAGCUACACGCGUGAUUAAAACAAAGCUCGAUUUCAGCAGGAAACAGACUUUGACUUUUAAUGAAGAACAAUGAAAAGUGACCGAGUACAAUUAAA